rnacentral:rRNA from 1 species
AUUGAACGCUGGCGGCAUGCCUUACACAUGCAAGUCGAACGGUAACAGAUCUUCGGAUGCUGACGAGUGGCGAACGGGUGAGUAAUACAUCGGAACGUGCCUAGUAGUGGGGGAUAACCACUCGAAAGAGUGGCUAAUACCGCAUGAGAUCUACGGAUGAAAGCAGGGGAUCGCAAGACCUUGUGCUACUAGAGCGGCCGAUGGCAGAUUAGGUAGUUGGUGGGAUAAAAGCUUACCAAGCCGACGAUCUGUAGCUGGGCUGAGAGGACGAUCAGCCACACUGGGACUGAGGAACGGCCCAGAAUCCGACGGGAGGCAGCAGUGGGGAAUGUUGGGCAAUGGGGGCAAACGUGAUCCAGCCAUGGCGCGUGCAGGAUGAAGGGCGUCGGGUUGUAAACUGCUUUUGUACGGAACGAAAAGACUCUGGGUAAUACCUGGGGUCCAUGACGGUACCGUAAGAAUAAGCACCGGCUAACUACGUGCCAGCAGCCGCCGUAACAC